GAUCCUGGCUCAGGACGAACGCUGGCGGCGCGCCUAACACAUGCAAGUCGAACGAGAGAUGAGGAGCUUGCUCUUCAAAUCGAGUGGCGAACGGGUGAGUAACGCGUGAGGAACCUGCCUCAAAGAGGGGGGACAACAGUUGGAAACGACUGCUAAUACCGCAUAAGCCCACGGCUCGGCAUCGAGCAGAGGGAAAAGGAGCAAUCCGCUUUGAGAUGGCCUCGCGUCCGAUUAG
rnacentral:rRNA from 1 species